rnacentral:rRNA from 1 species
UACGGAGGGUGCAAGCGUUAUCCGGAUUCACUGGGUUUAAAGGGUGCGUAGGUGGGAAUGUAAGUCAGUGGUGAAAUCUCCGUGCUUAACAUGGAAACUGCCAUUGAUACUAUGUUUCUUGAAUUUUCUGGAGGUCAGCGGAAUAUGUCAUGUAGCGGUGAAAUGCUUAGAUAUGACAUAGAACACCCAUUGCGAAGGCAGCUUACUACGGAUAUAUUGACACUGAGGCUCGAAAGCGUGGGGAUCAAACAGG